rnacentral:rRNA from 2 species
ACAUGCAAGUCGAACGAAACUUUCUUACACCGAAUGCUUGCAUUCACCGUAAGAAGUUGAGUGGCGGACGGGUGAGUAACACGUGGGUAACCUGCCUAAAAGAAGGGGAUAACACUUGGAAACAGGUGCUAAUACCGUAUAUCUCUAAGGAUCGCAUGAUCCUUAGAUGAAAGAUGGUUCUGCUAUCGCUUUUAGAUGGACCCGCGGCGUAUUAACUAGUUGGUGGGGUAACGGCCUACCAAGGUGAUGAUACGUAGCCGAACUGAGAGGUUGAUCGGCCACAUUGGGACUGAGACACGGCCCAAACUCCUACGGGAGGCAGCAGUAGGGAAUCUUCCACAAUGGACGCAAGUCUGAUGGAGCAACGCCGCGUGAGUGAAGAAGGUCUUCGGAUCGUAAAACUCUGUUGUUAGAGAAGAACACGAGUGAGAGUAACUGUUCAUUCGAUGACGGUAUCUAACCAGCAAGUCACGGCUAACUACGUGCCAGCAGCCGCGGUAAUACGUAGGUGGCAAGCGUUGUCCGGAUUUAUUGGGCGUAAAGGGAACGCAGGCGGUCUUUUAAGUCUGAUGUGAAAGCCUUCGGCUUAACCGGAGUAGUGCAUUGGAAACUGGAAGACUUGAGUGCAGAAGAGGAGAGUGGAACUCCAUGUGUAGCGGUGAAAUGCGUAGAUAUAUGGAAGAACACCAGUGGCGAAAGCGGCUCUCUGGUCUGUAACUGACGCUGAGGUCGAAAGCGUGGUAGCAACAGGAU